GGAGCCGUAGCUCAGCUUGGUUAGAGUGCCUGCCUGUCACGCAGGAUGUCGCCGGUUCGAUCCCGGUCGGCUCCGCCA
rnacentral:tRNA from 1 species